rnacentral:rRNA from 1 species
UACGGAGGGUGCAAGCGUUAUUCGGAUUUAUUGGGCGUAAAGGGCGUGUAGGUGGUUUGUUAAGUCAGGUGUGAAAGUCCAUGGCUCAACCAUGGAAGUGCACUUGAAACUAUCAGACUUGAGUACGGGAGGGGGAAGUGGAAUUCCAGGUGUAGAGGUGAAAUUCGUAGAUAUCUGGAGGAAUACCGGUGGCGAAGGCGACUUCCUGGACCGAUACUGACACUGAGACGCGAAAGCGUGGGGAGCAAACAGG